AAAUGCAAAAAAUAUUAAAUUAAUGUCAUAAAAUAAUAAUAUAAAAAAACCUUUUUUCCUUGCCAUCAAUUGAAAUGCCCUUUUCGUUCUCAUAAUCGAGUAAGCGAAGCAGAGAAAUAUUGAUGGCUGGACCAUCAUGGUUGGUGGACGGUAACAGAAUUGCAACAAAAAUCAAGAGUGCAUCUGGGACUUGCGACCUGGAAAGAGUUACUUGGAAAAGCAAUCCAAGUAAAGCUUGUCCGAAUUGCCAUUUUGUUAUUGACAACACUGAUGUUGCUAAAGAGUGGCCGGGAUUGCCAAGAGGGGUGAAAUUUGAUCCAUCUGAUCAAGAAAUUAUAUGGCAUUUACUUGCAAAAGUUGGUGUUGAGGGUUUCAAAUCCCAUCCAUUUAUUGAUGAGUUCAUUCCGACGCUCGAGCAAGAUGAUGGAAUCUGCUAUACACAUCCUCAGAAUCUGCCAGGUGUGAAGCAAGAUGGAAGUGUGUCCCUUUUCUUUCAUAGAGCAAUCAAGGCGUACAGUACUGGAACUAGAAAACGCCGAAAGAUAAACGACAAUGAUUUAUGUGAUGUUCGCUGGCACAAGACUGGCAAAACUAAGCCAGUGAUGUUGGAUGGAAUUCAGAGAGGUUGUAAGAAGAUUAUGGUUCUUUAUAUGAGCAUGGUAAGAGGAGGGAGAGCAGAGAAAACAAAUUGGGUGAUGCACCAAUAUCACCUAGGAACAGGGGAGGAUGAGAGCGAUGGACAAUAUGUUGUAUCUAAAAUACUUUAUCAGCAACAACAGGCCAAACAGGCUGAUAAAACUGAACAAGAAUUUCCAGAAAGCAGUGAUGCUGUAAUUGCAAAAGUAGAUCCUGUUACUCCAAAGUCAGUUACUCCUGACCCACCACGUUCUGAAAGGCAUUAUUCUGAUUUGGACAUGGGACAAGAGUCUACUCAUCCUAUUACUUUCACAUAUCCAUUAACUGAGCUCCCUGAAAUGAGGCAUGUUGAGGAAGAGGUUGAACCUGAAUGUGAACAGCCUGGUUGCAACUCUCAGCCCAAAGAAGAAUACAAUGCUAAUCAGAUUGUGGAUAAUAAUGACAAUCUCUCUGAGGGAGAGCAUAAAUUAUCGGAGAGUGAAUUACAGUAUCUGUUGGAUUCACAACAACUUGCAGAAGGGCUAUCUCUAUGUGAUGAGUUCCUUCAAAGCCAAUCUUCUAACAAGGAUGAAACUGAGAAUGAUGGAAGUUCCAAGGGAAAGCCCUGCCUUUCUGAUUAUGCUCAGUUAGGACCAGAAAGUUUGAGGAAGGAUUUGGAGGAAUGUCAAAAUCUGGUCAUUGAUCCAGCAAACAUAGAACUUGAUACUCCUCCGGAAUUUCGUCUGAGCCAGCUUGAUUUCUGUUCACAGGAUAGCUACCUUUCAUUUGGUGGAAGUAAAGCGAAUGACUACAAUUGAAUGCUUAAAUCUUGAUUGCAGAAGGAAAAUUACCAAAUAUAUUUUAUUUACACUUCAGUUAGAACUUUGUUUGCUAAUGUCCUCAGGUGACCUUGAACCUCCAUUAAUUUGCUAGAACCCACCUGAAUCCGACAAAGUUUACUUUUUUGGUAUUCCUAAUAUCUUUUGCUGGGGAUCUUUUGAUGCCAAAAUUUUAAGCUGGUACCUACCUGUCUUGGGAAUUGAUAUUUUUGUAUCAUUCACUCAUCUGGCGAAUGCAUCAAAUUUCAUCAGACCCACAAGCUACCCGACUAAUGUUCUGUCAUAUAAACAAGGUUAAUGUUGUCAUAUAACAAAUGUGAUGUGGCACUGCAUCGGAAAAUUUAGGGUUCUAUCUUGUUGUAGCAUUUCACUACUUGCUUUCAAGAUAAUCAAUCUAAAUUUUUUAUGAGAGGGAGAGAUUAUGCUAA